CGGAGGGUGCAAGCGUUAUCCGGAUUCACUGGGUUUAAAGGGUGCGUAGGCGGGCAGGUAAGUCAGUGGUGAAAUCCUAGAGCUUAACUCUAGAACUGCCAUUGAUACUAUCUGUCUUGAAUAUUGUGGAGGUAAGCGGAAUAUGUCAUGUAGCGGUGAAAUGCUUAGAUAUGACAUAGAACACCUAUUGCGAAGGCAGCUUACUACGCAUAUAUUGACGCUGAGGCACGAAAGCGUGGGGAUCAAGCAGGAUUAGAUACCCUGGUAGUCCACGCCCUAAACGAUGAUUACUCGACAUUUGAGAUACACUUUAAGUGUCUGAGCGAAAGCAUUAAGUAAUCCACCUGGGAAGUACGACCGCAAGGUUG
rnacentral:rRNA from 1 species